GAUGAACGCUGGCGGCGUGCCUAAUACAUGCAAGUCGAGCGAACGGACGAGAAGCUUGCUUCUCUGAUGUUAGCGGCUGACGGGUGAGUAACACGUGGAUAACCUACCUAUAAGACUGGGAUAACUUCGGGAAACCGGAGCUAAUACCGGAUAAUAUUUUGAACCGCAUGGUUCAAAAGUGAAAGACAGUCUUGCUGUCACUUAUAGAUGGAUCCGCGCUGCAUUAGCUAGUUGGUAAGGUAACGGCUUACCAAGGCAACGAUGCAUAGCCGACCUGAGAGGGUGAUCGGCCACACUGGAACUGAGACACGGUCCAGACUCCUACGGGAGGCAGCAGUAGGGAAUAUUCCGCAAUGGGCGAAAGCCUGACGGAGCAACGCCGCGUGAGUGAUGAAGGUCUUCGGAUCGUAAAGCUCUGUUAUUAGGGAAGAACAUAUGUGUAAGUAACUGUGCACAUCUUGACGGUACCUAAUCAGAAAGCCACGGCUAACUACGUG
rnacentral:rRNA from 1 species